rfam:Hordeum vulgare subsp. vulgare, WGS project CAJW01000000 data, contig: morex_contig_44607
GAAGUACUCCCUCCGUCCCAAAAUUCUUGUCUUAGAUUUAUCUAGAAAUGGAUGUAGCUAAAUACUAAAACAUGACUAGAUACAUUCAAAUCUAGACAAAUCUAAGACAAGAAUUUUGGGACGGAGGGAGUAGAUG